UAGCAUAAUAAUUAGUUUUUUAAUUAAGAACUGGAAUGAAGGGUCCUACGAGAAAAAGACUGUCUCAAUUUAAUUUAAUUAGAAUUUUAUUUCUAAGUAAAAAAGCUUAGAUAAUUUUAAAAGACGAGAAGACCCUAUAGAGUUUUAUAUUUAAUAUUUAUUUUAAAAUUAAAGUAUUAUAUAAUUAAUCUAAAUAUAAAGUAUUUGGUUGGGGUGAUUAAAAAAUUUAAUAAACUUUUUUUAUUUUAAAAUCAUUGAUUUAUGAAUAAUUGAGCCAUUUAUAUAUGAUUAAAAGAUUAAAUUACCUUAGGGAUAACAGCGUAA
rnacentral:rRNA from 1 species